GUGGAUUAGAUACCCUGGUAGUCCACGCUGUAAACUAUGGGUACUAGGUGUUCGGGGUAUUGACCCCCUGAGUGCCGCAGCUAACGCAUUAAGUACCCCGCCUGGGGACUACGGCCGCAAGGUUAAAACUCAAAGGAAUUGACGGGGGCCCGCACAAGCGGUGGAGCAUGCUGUUCAAUUCGACGCAACGCGAAGAACCUUACCUGGGCUAGACAACGGCGGACCGCCUGAGAAAUCAGGUCUUCCCUUCGGGGACUGCCGGUUCAGGUGUUGCAUGGUUGUCGACAACU
rnacentral:rRNA from 1 species